GAUGAACGCUGGCGGCGUGCCUAAUACAUGCAAGUCGAGCGAACAGAUAAGGAGCUUGCUCCUUUGAAGUUAGCGGCGGACGGGUGAGUAACACGUGGGUAACCUACCUAUAAGACUGGGAUAACUUCGGGAAACCGGAGCUAAUACCGGAUAACAUUUAGAACCGCAUGGUUCUAAAGUGAAAGAUGGUUUUGCUAUCACUUAUAGAUGGACCCGCGCCGUAUUAGCUAGUUGGUAAGGUAACGGCUUACCAAGGCGACGAUACGUAGCCGACCUGAGAGGGUGAUCGGCCACACUGGAACUGAGACACGGUCCAGACUCCUACGGGAGGCAGCAGUAGGGAAUCUUCCGCAAUGGGCGAAAGCCUGACGGAGCAACGCCGCGUGAGUGAUGAAGGGUUUCGGCUCGUAAAACUCUGUUAUUAGGGAAGAACAAAUGUGUAAGUAACUGUGCACAUCUUGACGGUACCUAAUCAGAAAGCCACGGCUAACUACGUGCCAGCAGCCGCGGUAAUACGUAGGUGGCAAGCGUUAUCCGGAAUUAUUUGGGCGUAAAGCGCGCGUAGGCGGUUUCUUAAGUCUGAUGUGAAAGCCCACGGCUCAACCGUGGAGGGUCAUUGGAAACUGGGAAACUUGAGUGCAGAAGAGGAAAGUGGAAUUCCAUGUGUAGCGGUGAAAUGCGCAGAGAUAUGGAGGAACACCAGUGGCGAAGGCGACUUUCUGGUCUGUAACUGACGCUGAUGUGCGAAAGCGUGGGGAUCAAACAGGAUUAGAUACCCUGGUAGUCCACGCCGUAAACGAUGAGUGCUAAGUGUUAGGGGGUUUCCGCCCCUUAGUGCUGCAGCUAACGCAUUAAGCACUCCGCCUGGGGAGUACGACCGCAAGGUUGAAACUCAAAGGAAUUGACGGGGACCCGCACGAGCGGUGGAGCAUGUGGUUUAAUUCGAAGCAACGCGAAGAACCUUACCAAAUCUUGACAUCCUUUGAAAACUCUAGAGAUGGAGCCUUCCCCUUCGGGGGACAAAGUGACAGGUGGUGCAUGGUUGUCGUCAGCUCGUGUCGUGAGAUGUUGGGUUAAGUCCCGCAACGAGCGCAACCCUUAAGCUUAGUUGCCAUCAUUAAGUUGGGCACUCUAGGUUGACUGCCGGUGACAAACCGGAGGAAGGUGGGGAUGACGUCAAAUCAUCAUGCCCCUUAUGAUUUGGGCUACACACGUGCUACAAUGGACAAUACAAAGGGCAGCUAAACCGCGAGGUCAUGCAAAUCCCAUAAAGUUGUUCUCAGUUCGGAUUGUAGUCUGCAACUCGACUACAUGAAGCUGGAAUCGCUAGUAAUCGUAGAUCAGCAUGCUACGGUGAAUACGUUCCCGGGUCU
rnacentral:rRNA from 1 species